CAGGACUUGACAUCCCUCUGACCGGCGUGUAACGGCGCCCUCCCUUCGGGGCAGAGGAGACAGGUGGUGCAUGGUUGUCGUCAGCUCGUGUCGUGAGAUGUUGGGUUAAGUCCCGCAACGAGCGCAACCCUUGUCAUUAGUUGCCAGCAGGUUAAGCUGGGCACUCUAGUGAGACUGCCGGGGACAACUCGGAGGAAGGUGGGGACGACGUCAAAUCAUCAUGCCCCUUAUGUUCUGGGCUACACACGUGCUACAAUGGCCGGUACAGAGAGACGCAAUGUCGUGAGGCGGAGCAAAACUCUAAAACCGGUCCCAGUUCGGAUUGCAGGCUGAAACUCGCCUGCAUGAAGUCGGAGUUGCUAGUAAUCGCGAAUCAGAAAGUCGCGGUGAAUGCGUUCCC
rnacentral:rRNA from 1 species